GGGCUGUGCAAUCAAGACCACCCAGAAAUAUUGAUGAACUAAAACAGAAUUGUAGGAUGGAAUGGUUCAAAAAUCAUCAGGUUGUGCAAGUCUACAGUCUAAGUCUAAGCAGCUACAGUCAAUGUGAAGAUAGUUGCUGCUAAAGGAGGAUGUACAAGUUAAUGGAAGAGAUAAUUAUGGAACAUCUUCAAUAAAAACUUUGAAAGUACAACUGCUUGUAUGUUAUUAGUUUAGUCAAUUGUAUUUGUCUAUAAUUGUGACAGGCAAAGAUCAGACCACAUUUUAUUUGUAAUCAGUGCAGAAAUCCUGGUAAAUCCAAAGGGUUCACAAACCUUUUCUUGCAACUAUAUAUUUAAUUAAGCCUUAGUUGCAUGUUUCAGAACAUGAAGCAUGGUUGUUGUUUUG